GACGAACGCUGGCGGCGUGCUUAACACAUGCAAGUCGAACGAAGAGCGAUGGAAGCUUGCUUCUAUCAAUCUUAGUGGCGAACGGGUGAGUAACGCGUAAUCAACCUGCCCUUCAGAGGGGGACAACAGUUGGAAACGACUGCUAAUACCGCAUACGAUCUGACCUCGGCAUCGAGGAUAGAUGAAAGGUGGCCUCUACAUGUAAGCUAUCACUGAAGGAGGGUAUUGCGUCUGAUUAGCUAGUUGGCGUGGUAACGGCCCACCAAGGCGAUGAUCAGUAGCCGGUCUGAGAGGAUGGACGGCCACAUUGGGACUGAGACACGGCACAGAGUCCUACGGGAGGCAGCAGGGGGGAAUCUUCCGCAAUGGACGAAAGACUGACGGAGAAACGCCGCGGGAGUGAUGACGGCCUUCGGGUUGUAAAGCUCGGUUAAUCGGGACGAAAGGCCUUUUUGCGAAUAGUGAGAAGGAUUGACGGUACCGGAAUAGAAAGCAACGGCUAACUACGUG
rnacentral:rRNA from 1 species